rnacentral:rRNA from 1 species
GACGAACGCUGGCGGCGUGCCUAAUACAUGCAAGUCGAACGCAGUGGGGACGGGUGAGUAACACGUGGGUAACCUCCCAUCAGAGGGGAUAACACUUGGAAACAGGUGCUAAACCGAUACUGAUGGAUGGCCCCGCGGUGCAUUAGCUAGUUGGUGAGGUAACGGCUCACCAAGGCCACGAUGCAUAGCCGAACUGAGACGGUGAUUGGCCACACUGGGACGGAGAAACGGCACAGACUCCUACGGGAGGCAGCAGUAGGGAAGCGGUGGCAAUGGACGAGAGUCUGACCGAGCAACGCCGCGGGAGUGAAGAAGGUUUUCGGAUCGUAAAGCGCUGUUGUUAAGGAAGCGGUACUUACCCAGAAAGGGACGGCUAACUACGUGCCAGCAGCCGCGGUAAUUC